rnacentral:lncRNA from 1 species
CAGGCAAAAAUCCUUCUGUUUUUAUAAUGCUCCAAGCACGUUAUACAUGUCAAUGUUAGUGCCGUGUGCCCUACAUAAAUAAAAACAACUUACCAAUGCUCAGCGGGGUGUUACACAUCUUACAGCUAACCUCCGUAUGCGCUGUCUGGUAUCAGUGAGUAAGCUGCUAAUUAGGGUUAGCCAGGAGUGCAGAACGGGGCCGAUUGCAGGGCAGGCACCGACCCAGCACGUGGCUGCACACUGCAAGUUGAACAGUACCCGAGCUCAAGGCUGGCUUUUAUUUUCUGCAUUGUUUCCCUCUGCAUAAACAUCAGGAACAUGCUUAGACAGUAGAAUUGAGCCCGGAUGUCUGGAGGGCAUCUGGAGGUGUUCAGGUGUGUGAUUGCUUCCUGUCUGCCCACCGCAGCGCUCUCCUGUCUGCAGUACAAACACAGCGCUGCUGGAGGUGUGGGUGCUGCGGGGCUGGGCAGGAACGUGGGUAGCAGUGAGAGGCUGCAGUGUGCAGUGUUUGGGGAGGGGGAGUUCUGAAGGAUUUUUGAUGGGUAGCUUACGUGUCUGUUAGGUGAGAGCACAGCGGUGGCAGUAGAAAAUAAGGAGCGUGGAGGCAGUGUCAGUGUGAGAUUUCAGCAACAAAUAUGUGUGUUCUUUUAGGUAGAAUGACUUAAAACGGUUUUUACUGCAUCGCAUUCAGUACAGAUCACACGAGUGAGCGGUCCUUGGGCUGCCCUUACCCACCUGGAGAAACAGCUGCCCCAGGAAGGGGCUCUGUGCCUACCCUGGCAGCAGUCUCCCACUCAUUUCCCUAGAUAAAUGUGAGUGUUCUGUGCAGACUCCAGCAGGAUGCUGUCCCACGUGUGAGGCCAGCUUUGGCGGGUUGUAACCCUGUGAGUCUUGCUUGUUAUUUAAGGGUGUGGGGGCUGCUGGCUCUUGGGCAGUGAGUUUGUGUUUGUGUGCAUUGGGAUGGGGGCGGAGAUGUUCCCUGUCACACCAUCAGAACCAGAGCUCUGGUGGCUGAGGGAAAAGCAAUGAAAUCCCAUUCUAGGAUUUCAGAGAGAAGGUCCAAGGGUGCAUAGGUGGCCAAAGCGUUUGGAGAGACACACAUGGGCACGUGUGUGCUUAACAAGAUUUGGUACCAAAAAAAAAGAAAAGAGGUAUUUUUGCUUUGAAAAUCCCCCUGAGGGCCCCGAUGUCUUCAUGGGGAGCUGUUUGCCCUUGGGCACAAGCCCCUCUGACACCUGGUGGGACAGCAAAAGGUAACGGAGAAGGCUUGAAAUUAAAUAAUGCCUGUGGACUUCUUAAGCGUUGCGUUGAGCUGAACAGAGCACUGUGGCUGUCCCCUGAGGAGCGCUGGGACAGCUGUAAGGGCAGCUUCUGUACAGCCUGCUCCCAUAACAUCUAAUUGCUUUCAUAUCUAUCAAACACUAAAAGCCUUUCUUCGGAGUUGUGCGUUUGUUUUUAAAUCAAAUAGAUUUAUUCUUGAUGUCUCGGGCACAUUAUUGCAGUAACCUCAUCCUUGGACCAAAACUUUGGCAGAACACACGUAUCUGUAAUGAGGACUUUGUGUUCUGUGGAGGCUUUAUUACAAAAGAGGAUGAACAAGUAUAUUAGAAAGAAAGGGGAGAAACAGGGAAGACUACUUUUUUUGGCAAAGCUUUGUGCUACAGCUCUCGUUUCUCUGGUUGCAGCUGCCUUCAGGCGCACAUCUCAGUCCCUUGUUAUGUUGUGCUCAACUGUUGAUGCUUCCCAGGUUUGCUCUUUGGUGAAACAGGCACGUGUGCAGGUUCCCCAUAAAAAUGGCCGGUUUGGGUUUUACCAGGAACUCUGGCACUUCUCCAUUAUAAGAAGGGAUUACAUUUUUAGGGAGAAUUAACAAGGCAGGAGUAGUGAAGCACUUGAAAUGUCCAGUUUAAUUCUCUCUCUUCCUGCAAACAAGCUCACACGAGCAGGUUUUUCAGAAGUCCUGAAAUGAAAGCUUCCUGGAAGAAAUACAUUUCCCUGUGGGACCACACAGCUCUCAGUCCUGCCUCCGUGUGAAGAUGAUGUUCCUGGGUGUCAAGCCACGGCCCUGCUCUGGUGGCAUGUGAGGUGUGAGCCUCCAACUGCCUCUGGCUGUACUGCAGGUGGGAAGCUCUCUUGUUCUUGUGAUUGCUGUGCAGGUCCCUCUGAAGCAUGUUCAUUGUGUGGGGUUCUACAAGGUGUUGGAGAGGGGCUCAGAGGCACCCAUGGGUGUCUGCACUCUUCUCUGUCCAUCCAUGUGUUCCAUUGGUGCUCUUCCGUUAAAACGACACUGCAGAACGAAUGCAAAGCUGGCAGAAGUGAAAGGGUUUAUGAGGGAAGCCUGUUUAAAUGUGUUUAUUAACCAGAAGAGCUGCAUUUUCAACACUGCUGAUUGCUGUGCAGACACUACUCCUUGGUUUUGCACACUCAAAUGGUUGCUGUUUAAAAUGACUUGUAAAUUAUUAACGUGUUCUCCCAGCAAUCCACAGAAUGACUGGAAGCACAGCACAUGAGCUUUCUGGCUUUAUUUCUUGCAAGUACUGCUGGGCCUGUCCCCUUCCAUGCCCGUCUGCUUCGCUGAUGAAAGCUGCCCUGGAGCCUGCAGGUUGCACAUAGGUUGUGUGCACAACGUGGACGUUAUUUAAAGAAAUGCCAACAGGAGGAGACAGCUUGGGAAAUGGGAGCAUACAUCUCGCCGGUCUGAAGAGAGCUCAUAGCAGCUCAGGAUCUUUCUGAUUUUUAUGAGGUGACAGGCUGUGAGCUGGAAGUGCUCCAUCUCCACUCCCUCCUGCAGCACCUGGGCUGUGUCCCAGCCAUGCACCAGCUGUACUUGCACUGUGUGCAGCAGGUUUUGGAGGUUUGCCCUUAUGGGACAUGGGAUGUGGCUGAGCUCUUGGGGUGUGCCGGGACCAUGCUGGAUCCAUGCAGUGCUGUGUCCAUGCAGUGCCAGGGAGCGUUCUCAGCAGUGUGGUUAUCAGCACUUCUGUCAGGAGCUGGAGUGCUCCAGCUUGGGCACUAAAAUAAAUGAGCAAGCCCGCUUCGAUAAAAGAAAGGGGAGAAAAAGAUUCUCAGUGUCACCCUCUGACAGUGCUGCCCACCUCUGC